rnacentral:rRNA from 1 species
UACGUAGGGGGCAAGCGUUGUCCGGAAUUACUGGGCGUAAAGCGCGUGUAGGCGGGACGGUUAGUCGGACGUGAAAGGCUGGGGCUCAACCCCAGAUCGCCGUUCGAAACUGCCGUUCUUGAGGGUCGAAGAGGAGAGUGGAAUUCCUGGUGUAGACGGUGAAAUGCGUAGAGAUCAGGAGGAACACCCAUGGCGAAGGCAGCUCUCUGGUCGACAUCUGAC